CGCGAGCCCAGCGCCGCCGCACUCUCGUGCCUCCCCCAUGCGAGCCCAACGCCGUUGCUCUCCUCUGCCGCCCCCACACGCUGCGUGCGUGCUGCCACCAUCUCCGCCGCCUCCUCGAGACGAGGCCGCCACCAUAAGCCCCACUCCGGCGCACUUGCCCGCCCAUGUAGGUACUCUUUCAUCGGCCGUGGUGGUCGCUGCCGCCGCGCUCCAUGACGCCUGCGACACUGGCCUCGGGAACUCGGUCUGGAUCGCCUCCACGCCUCCACAGGAGGAGCAAGAAGGCCUGGUACGCUACAUCCCUCUCAAGGCCCUACUUCCUCUCCACCAGUUGAGUUAAAACAUGUGAGUCGUUGUACGCUGGGUGUUUGAUGAUAGUUCUGCAAGGAAGAUCAUGCGUGCUACUGUGUUUUUUCAAUCUCUCAUCUAACAUUGUCGUGGGAAGCUUCUAAGGAUUGGAGUACCUCUGCGUACAAGUUACAAUGGGCCUGGUGGGGUAAAGGGGUCUUCAGUUGAUGUUUUCAAAUCUGCAAUAAGCUUGUUGUCUUACACUGGGAUGCAGUUCUGUUUUAUUUGGAGAUGGAUUGAAAAAUCCGAGCUACAAUGACCUUCUACAAAGCUGUCCGAAAAUUUAUGUUCGCCGCAAUUCUGCCGCCACCGUCCACGUCGUUUCCAUGAUGGCAGCCUUGGCGCCAGGGCGUGGGAGCUACUUCUCAGCCUUGCCGGGGUUGACGGCAGCGACACAAUCAUUAACUUUUGGCGUGUUCAUUUGUAUCAAGUGUUCUGGAGCUCAUACAAACCUGGGGGUGCACAUUUCCAAGGUAGCCACAAUAUCUAUGUAUUGCUAGCUAUUUGUCAGUAGUGUCCUUCCAUUUUCAGUUUUAUUUCUUCUUACUUGGAAUGAUUUUAAAUUCAGCCGUAUGAGAUGUUGGCUAAUACUCCCUCCGUCCGCGAAUAAGUGUACAUCUAGCUUUUGUACUAAGUCAAAAUUUUAAAAUUUUGACCAACUUUAUAGAAAAGAAUAGUAGCAUAUAUGACAUCAAAUUGAUAUAUUAUGAAAGUACAUUCGAAAACGAAUCUAGCGAUACUAAUUUAGUGCCAUAAAUGUUGGUACGUUUCUCUAUAAAGUUGGUCAAAGUUUUAAGACUUUGACUUAGAAAAAAACUAGAUGUACACUUAUUCACGGACGGAGGGAGUAAUGGAUUAGACUUUUCAGUUAUAUAGUUGGGCUUUUAUUCGCUAGCCCUUUCUGAAACUAGGCAAGUGCAACCAUGAGGCUUACUUUAGAACUUGUAGGGACCCUUUGAUAUUUUCAUGUCCUAGCGAUUUCUACUGUCCCAGUGUGGAAGGUUGUCAGGCAAUAGACAAUAAAGCAGAUGUUUCAAGUUUCAACUUACUUUCUAGGUUGUACAGUUGUUUGUAAGUUGAUAAACACCUGCAUGGAGCCACACCCAUAUAUUAGC